GAUAAACCGGGUUAAACUGGAUCAGACGUAGUUGAUAAGUUAUAGUAAACCGGACUGAACCGGAUCAGACGUGGUUGAUAA